AUUUUUAUAUCACAGACAUUUUUAAAAGCCUUCACAAAUUUAUGUUGGAUAGUACACGCGUGUUCGUGUCGGACACGUAUUUCAUGUAAACGUUUUUUUAGACACGUAUUUAAUACCGAUUUAUAGCUCAUCCAACUUAAAAAAUAUAUAUCUAUUUUUAUUUUAUUUAUAUAUAUAUAUAUAUAUAUAAUAUAAGAUCAAAAUUACAUAUAAUAUUUUUAAUAAUAUAAACAAAUAUUAUAUAUUAUUAUAAUGUUUAUGUCGUAUUUGUGUUCUAAUUUUUUGAAAGUCAUCAAAUUGUGACGUC
rnacentral:lncRNA from 1 species